UACAGAGGGGGCAAGCGUUAUUCGGAAUUAUUGGGCGUAAAGGGCGCGUAGGCGGCUUGGCAAGUGGAUGGUGAAAUCCCUCGGCUUAACCGAGGAACUGCCGUCCAAACUGCUUCGCUUGAGACCGGGAGAGGUGAGUGGAAUUCCCAGUGUAGCGGUGAAAUUCGUAGAUAUUCGGAAGAACACCAGUGGCGAAGGCGGCUCACUGGACCGGCAUUGACGCUGAGGUGCGAAAGCGUGGGGAGCAAACAGG
rnacentral:rRNA from 1 species